UCCACAUUCACCCACAUCACCUCAUCCAUACCCAUCCUUUAAGGGUAUUUUGGUCUUUUUGUUUCUUUCUUUGAAGAUUGUGCUUUGUACUUUUCACCAACCAUCACAUUUCCCCACAUCCCCACUUGAUUAUACCCAACCCAUCAUCCAUCACCUUUUGUACUUCUUAUCAUCCAUCAUAUUUUUCAAAACUCCAUUGUUAUCUUCUUCAACCAUUGAAAUCUGAAGAUCGAAGAUCGAAGCCAUCCCUUCCAACCUUUGAAAUAUGAAGAUCGAAGCCACCAUCAAUGCUCUGCCACCAUCAAAGCUCUCAAAGAUCGAAGAUCAAAGCCACCAUCCCUUCCAACCUUGAAAUCUGAAGAUCGAAGCCACCAUCAAAGCUCUCAAAGAAAAGGAAGCUCGGUGUCAUUUUAAUCACAUCUUUGUUUCUGUUUUUUAGAGAGAGAAAGCUAAUGUUUUGGAAGGAGAGAUAACAAUUUUCAUGUUGUUCACCUAGACACCAAGAACACACGCACAAGUGUGUGAGAGAGAAACAGGUGGAAAGAUGUUUUGUGUUCAAGAUGAAGAUGGUUAUCAACAAGCGAAACCCGCGGAAGGAUUACAACGCAUCAUCAGGUUUUCGUGGUGACGAUGGUGUUGUUGUGAAGGCAAUUUUUAGAAGACCAUUUUUAGAAGCAUUACAACUAUUGAUAUAAAAUUUAUUUUUAUUUUCAUUGUUAGUAUGCCAAUAUUUGGAUGAAUACGGAUGUUGUUGUGAAGGCAA